rnacentral:rRNA from 1 species
AUUGAACGCUGGCGGCAGGCCUAACACAUGCAAGUCGAACGAGUGGCGGACGGGUGAGUAAUGUCUGGGAAACUGCCUGAUGGAGGGGGAUAACUACUGGAAACGGUAGCUAAUACCGCAUACCAUACGAUGUGCCCAGAUGGGAUUAGCUAGUGGGGGGGGUAACGGCUCACCAAGGAGACGAUCCCUAGCGGGUCUGAGAGGAUGAACAGCCACACUGGAACGGGGACACGGUCCAGACUCCUACGGGAGGAAGCAGUGGGGAAUAUUGCACAAUGGGGGCAAGCCUGAUGCAGCCAUGCCGCGUGUAUGAAGAAGGCCUUCGGGUUGUAAAGUACUUUCAGCGGGGAGGCGUUACCCGAAGAAGAAGCACCGGCUAACUCCGUGCCAGCCGCCGCGGUAAUAC